AUGGCUUCUCUAACCAUGCUCGUGUCAUAGACCAUUUGGAACGAGCGGAAUGCGCGUGUUUUCCAGAACAAGAGUGCUCCACCACCAAUCUUGCUAAACAACAUCAUCUGCGAGGCAAACCUUUGGAUCACCGCCGGAGAAAAAAAUUAA
rnacentral:rRNA from 1 species